CCAGACUCCUACGGGAGGCAGCAGUGAGGAAUAUUGGUCAAUGGGCGCGAGCCUGAACCAGCCAAGUCGCGUGAGGGAUGACGGCCCUACGGGUUGUAAACCUCUUUUGCCGGGGAGCAACGGGCGCCACGUGUGGCGCCACUGAGAGUACCCGGAGAAAAAGCAUCGGCUAACUCCGUGCCAGCAGCCGCGGUAAUACGGGGGGUGCAAGCGUUGUCCGGAAUCAUUGGGCGUAAAGCGUUCGUAGGCGGUAUGUCAAGUCUGAUGUUAAAGCCCGGGGCUCAACUCCGGUUCGGCAUUGGAUACUGGCAAACUAGAAUGUGGUAGAGGUAAAGGGAAUUCCUGGUGUAGCGGUGAAAUGCGUAGAUAUCAGGAGGAACAUCGGUGGCGAAAGCGCUUUACUGGACCAUUAUUGACGCUGAGGAACGAAAGCCAGGGGAGCAAAUGGGAUUAGAUACCCGAGUAAG
rnacentral:rRNA from 1 species